GCAGCCUGGCUGUCAGCUAGCAGAGCUGCUGAGCAGCGCAGCCAGCCCUUUGGCGUGCAGAAACCCGAAGUGCCCUUGCAUGCCGUGCUUGCAGAUUCACUGCCUUUUGUAGGGGUUGAAAGACCUACUGAAUCCAGACAGGGACAGAGCGCUGUCCUCUGGCUGUAAUUCUCAGUUUGGGCACCCAUAUCUAAGACCAGGCACAUAAUGGCCUCUUUAGCCCUUGAGGGCUGUUCAGACCCUUCAGACUCCCUCACCAACUUCAGUACACCUUCUUGCAGAAGUCCAGCUAACUAGUAGUCUGGGGUUAUGUUCACAGGUAUAACAUCACACAUGCAGAAAUAGUGUCUUCGGAGCAUUUCAAGGCUUCGUUCAUAGUUUUUCAGCAUUUGUGAUUUUUUUUUUUUUCAUGUUUACAUUGUAAUGUAUUAAUGUAUGGUAGAGAGGCUCAAAGGCGCUUUCUCUUGUUCUUCAUUUAGGUCAUGGCCCCCAUGUGCUUUCAGCAGAAUAGAGGAACACUGAUUCCUAAUGGCCUGACAUUUGUCUGGUUGAAAAGAGGCAGAAGGCAACACUGAGGAGCCAGUGGCAGAUUUCAUGUAUAUUGAGGCAGUCUGUGUGAUGAUUUCAAGUGCUGUUCGCGCAUGAGUCAUCCAUGGAAGCUGUUCAAUUUAGAUGCAGGUCAUCUUCUCCUAAUGCAUGACAAGCUACAUAUGGUCCCAUAAGUCAUACAUCACGAUACUUUCCUCUUUUGCAACAAUAUAUAGUAUUUUCAGUUCCAGUACAUCAUACAAAGAGAUUCUUGUAUGAAGCAGGAGUACAAAACUGCAGCCACUUCAUACGUAAUGGAAAUUGAGUGAUUAGCAGAAACAGGUUAUUUUUCUACUUCCUUAAAUGUUGCACUCCAUUUGUAAUGAUCAGUCCAUGUCCAAUAGUUUAAUAGCAUUAACUACCAUUAGUAUUUAACCAGGGCUUUUUUCUCAGGUCUUCAUAAUUUGAUUUAGCAGUGCUCAGGCUGUUAGGCAUAACACAUUUAAUAGUGUCAUCUGUUGUGCAGUGAGAAAAAUCCUGAAGAUUUAGUAGCCCACAGUAAAUAAAAACAGCCCAAAGGCUGUGGAUAAAGCCAAUACUUUCCAUGGAAUACAAGAAGUGAAAGAAGGAGUCUUAAGCUUUAAAACACAUGCACUCAUCGCAGUGUGCUCGAGAAUGAACACUCAUUGAUAGCACUGGAGUGCUUGCUUUCAUUGCAGUGCUAAUUCAAAUAAACCACUAUCCAAGCAAACUCAUCUUGAGAUAGCCUGUAAUGUGUGUCAACACAGUAAGACUCUAGAGCUGCACAGUUACACUGCAGAGUAGCUGAGAUUGUACCCUCAUCUUGCAAAAGUGAUGACAAAUCUGCAUUAAAAUAUUCCUUUUUUUCUCCCUGCUGCAGCUGAUAUCACUUGGUGUCAUUGAAGUCUGAAUUGUGUCUGAGCGAACCUGUACUGGUGACACAGCUUCACCUUCUACAGGGGCGGAAGGGCUGACCGUCUGGGUGUAGGGACCUCUUCAGCUGGAUCUUCUGGUGACAGAGUACUACCAUGGAACCACCGCCUGGUGCAUCAGUGAGGACAAGCCUGGGAGCUCAUAGAUAACUGCAAAAUGAGCUUCUAUACUGUGUGCUGUCAGCCUGCCCCUGCCCUCGUGGGAAGUCCAGUACUAACACAUCUGUAUCUUUGCUUCUCCCUGCCCCCUCUGGAGUGUACUCCCUCUUUUCCCCUGUCUUGUGUGAAAUCCCAGGAUCAACCAUCUUGUGUCUCUAAGGAUCAGUAUUUUUUGCCAACCAUGGCUCUUCAGGAGCUCCAGGUAGUUCAGCAUCUUUGAGACUUUCCUUCUGGGGCUGACGGCAGCAGGCACACACAGUGACUCACGUUUGGUCAACCCCUGCUCUCUGCAGGGAUGGUCUAAAUCAGUUCGGUGAAAUAAAGUGGUCAGCUGGUGCGCAGAAAAGCAGAAUUGUGCCCAUUACUCACGCUGAGCUUAAAGGAAAAUGUUGGUCAAAGGUCUUCAUAUCUCAGCAAUAAUCUCCUAGAAACUCUGGUUGAUAACAUCUUGUGCUCACUCUUUCCUCCUUGUUUUCUUUUUUUUUUUUUUUUUUCUUUAUACAGUAUAACAUAGCAGUCUCCAGGAGAGAUUGUACCAUUACAGGCUUGCAGCUCUGGAGCAGGUGUUUGUUUAUUGCUUGGUCAUUGAAAACCGCUGUGUGAUUGUCUUUUUUUUUCCCCCCUAAAAUACCAUAAUUUUUAUUCCUCCUUGUUAGGAGAUAUGUUAAAUUGUUCAAAGGGAUAUAUUAAAAUAUUCACUGUAGCGAAGGUUUAAUGAACAGAAAACUUUGCACUUCAGAGUGGCUUUCCUAAUGCUUAGAUUUCCCCUCAGUAUCUGAGCAGGGUCUUUGUCUUCAUUUCUGCUUUGUUCUUCCUCCUCGUCGGGGCCUGCGUUAGGAGUUCGCUCGGAGCUGCUGCUGUUAGUCAGGUCCGGAUUGAAACCUUUGGGGGUCUUGACUUAGACGGCAGGAUCAGCUGCCUGCCUGAGCCGUUUCUGUGGAUUCAUGGGCCACUGUGAUCUCAGAAGACCCAGGCAGGGUUCACAUACUGUUGACCUGAUCAGUGGUGAAAGUUCAGGCUAACACGUUAAAGUACAACAUGACUUACCCGUGCACCUGCCUGUGCAUUUACAUCGAACAGUCCUAAGGCACCUCUACUGGCGAGAAGCUAGUGGACAGGAUCAGCAGGCAGUCUUCCUGACAAAAUAAUAUGUCUGAGUUCUUCUCUUCAGUGUCCCAAAGAAUUUUAAUGCCUCAUGUGAAUAGAUGUUAUUCUUUUUUACUUUGAACAACUGAUUGAUUUUUUAAAUGACGAAAUUUCUCACACCAGUUAAUGCAUACUGGUUUUUGGGUUUGACUGCAAAAUGCUAUAUUUGCUUGCUUGCUUUUUUUUUUUUUUUUUUAAGCACACUUGUAGGAUAUCCUGUUUCACAGACCAGGCUGGCAAUUGGAAGCAAAUGUGUUUGUAAAACAAACCCUAAAAUCUGCAGAGUUUGUAACAGAAGCAUGAUACCAGCAUAAGCACUUCUAUCAAAACACGUGGAACAACUGUAAUAACCUUGAGUUCUUCACGAGAGAAAGUAGCAACAGUUUAUGAAGCAUUUUAAAUUCGUUUAUUUCCCUUUUGAAUCAAAUUUAGGUCUCCUUCCUCUCCACUAAUAUAAAAAAAUAAUGGGACUGGACGUGAGGCAGUUGUUCUAGACAGUCUCAGGAUAAGGACAGUCAUCUACAGGGAGCCGGUCUGUGGCUUUUUCCCAUACAGAACAGGUGUGUCACAGGGGGUUUGGUUUCAAGUAAAUUGAAAUUUCAGAACUGAAAACUCCUAACAAGCAUGAAAGGCAGCAAAAAUACUAAUUAGCUGCUUUCUCUUUCGCAAUAAUAGACUUGCAGAUUUCAUACCUAUCACUGAAGACGCCCAACUUCAUUAGCUACAGGGCGACAGGAGGUAGAAGAGAUCAAAGCCAAAUUAUUUCUUUGCAUUAUUAGUCAGGGAUGCAACAUCUGUCAGGAACAGAAUGUCUGAUAGUGCUCGCAGGUAUUUCUGUUCUCUGUUUAAAAAGAAACCAAAUGGUAUACUCAGUCUUAUACUCUUAUUCAAAAAAUCCUUAGGAAAUUUUUCAUAUUAAAAACUGCUACUUAACUAUUUUUCAGUCCGUAGAAUGAGUCAUUUACCACCAAGAGUUUAAAAAAACCCCACAGACUGACAAGCUUUCUAAGCCUACCAUGUUAGUACAUAGCAAAUUAGAUAAAAUCAGUAAACAUCAAACUCUUUCACAAGCUUGCUUUUAAAAGCUGGAUUUCCUAACUCCGGGGAAAAAACAUUGCCCCUGUGAAUGCCAAAACACAGUUCUUUUUGUCUUCUCUGUAAUGAAUGAGGAACAAAUGGACACGUUAUCCCUGUGGAAGUUGUCACAGAAGUUAAGUCAGCAGUUAGGGUUGUGAUUUUGGAACUUAUUUUACUUCAUAAUAUGUUUACUGUAUUCCAACCCUGCUCAUUAAUUAGAGAUGUUUAGGGUACGUGUGACUCGCCAGCUGUACGGUCUUGCCUGAGGACAUGGGAUUUUCAGAUUUUUUCAGCAGUUGAACUCCAGUUACUACUAAGGGAUGGCAUGAAAGGGACUUCCUGGAAACUGUUAUCAUCUGAAGGGAUGGAAGGUAGACUUGGAUCUUAUUAUAGUGACUCAUGUCUGGAACAGACGUGAAACAGUCUAUGAGGAACUACCUCCUGCCCCGGCUAAGGCACAAACGCUAGUACAGCAUAAACAGAUCGCUUUUUAAAUGGCGUUAAAAGCAGCGUAUGAGACCAGCAUUGUGCAAUUUACACUAGCUGGCUAUUAUUUUGGGGCUGAAGUUUCCACUUUUCCUCAGGCACGGUGUACAAAGGAAUUGAAUCAGUCACCCUCCGUUCAAGGGGAAAUAAAAGUCCAUCGUCCUUCAGAGGACCUCGGGUUUGAAACCUUCUUGGUUAAAAAGUCCUCCCAGCACAGGACCCAUAACAGUACCUGGGUCUCUGCAGAGGUAGUAGCAGCGUAAGAGCUGAUGACUUAACACAAAAAGGGGAAUUGCAGUUAUUAGUUAUUAGUGGCUGUCUUCACUGGGAGCAGAAGUAAGGAGCAGCUAAAACCGUACAAUUUUCCUGUACACUUUUAACUAGGUAACGGGAGCCGGAGUUGGCGUGUUCUUGCAUGUAUUUGCUAUGGGUGGAAAAGGUGCUGACUCUCGCAUCUCCUUGAAAUCAAUAACGUGGCUCCCCUUGUCUUCAGGGGGAGCAGAGGCCGAAGCUGCAGAUGCUAUAGGAUAAUUAUAAAUGAAACAGAGAGUUGCAGUAUGCAGUAAACCCCUGCGUGGCUGCGAUUCAGGAAAGCACUCGGUGUUCUUUGUCAGGGGAGUAAAUCAUGUAGCAGCAGGAGACAUCUUCAAUGUUUUAAAUGCUCCUCAGGAAAACUAAACACAAUUUGGACUAUGCAGAAUUAUGUACUCCGUACCUUCAUGGAAUUUUUCCACCUUUGAAGUUUUUGGGGUUUUUUUUACCACAAAAAUAAGCUUGUUCCUUCUUUUAAUGUGUUCCAGUGUGCAUUUGUUUCCACAGCUGAUCACUGAAACCCCAAGAAGGCAACAGCUGUUAUGAAUGUAUAAUCAGACUGCCCAGCUAAUUAGUGGUUUUAAAUGGACUUGGGGCUUUUUUCCCCCCUCUCCUUCUUGUGAUUUCAGUGUCAAUGACACUGUUAAGAAAUUCCUAAUGAGGAAGACUGUUAUAUAAAUGCUUCGUAAACUAGGUCUUCUUUUAUAUUCAAAGCAUAACACACAAUUAAAACGCACCAUGGGCAGAAUCAUAGCUUCAUUUAACUCAUCUCAGCCUACCCACUCUGUGCUGAAGUGAAUAUAUCCUGCUUUUCAUUUGAUGUGUCCUGUUGUGUUAGAUGUACCAUACUGAUCUAAAAAUGGUAAAUUCUGUGGGUUCCCAGAGUUGUUAGCAGAGCCAGACGCUGCAUGCAUGCAAGACAUGGCUCCACACAGCUCCUCUAGUUAGAAGGAAAAAGAAAUGUGUAAAAUGAUCUCACUUGUCCUUUCGGAACAGGUUUCUAAUCCAUUUCCUUGCAAAAAAACCACUGAAAAUAAAAUUUUCCUAUUAAAGUUGUCAGACUAUUACUCAUUUUUUCUGUAACAUUUCCCGGUUUAUUCAUGGUGUGAUUACAGUUAAUCAGGGAAUAACAGUGCAAUCUGUGAGGACUUUUUAAAAUUAGUUGGAAAUCAUUACUUUUAAAAAACAUUAUUUAGGACCACUUCUCAACAUUGAUUUUUGAAAAUACUGAUUUUUUUCAAGAGUUUUUCCUCCAAAAUUAUGGGUUUUUUUAAGAAUGCAGUAUUUAAAGAUAGAGUGUUAUCUUUAAGAAUCACUAACCAGAGGCUGAAAUCUUCAGAAAGCCUUCCUCUGAUAACCUCUGCCAAGCAGUGCUGGCAGGUAGGGAAAAAUAGAAUCCAAACAAAAAAUGGAAACCCUGCAGAUUUUUUAAAGCAUGGCAAAAUGUUUAACAGUUUGAAGUGUAAAGGAACCUAAUUCCUUCAGUAAUUUUUAAGGCAAUAUAUAUUUAAAGUAAAUUUUUGGUUUUCAGAAAAUGGAAAGGUUUUAGAAAUUAGGAACCUAAUUUCUUUGGUAAUUUUUAAGGCAAUAUAUACUUACAGUAAAUUUUUGGUUUUUAGAAAGUCCUUCUGUAUUGUGUGUGAUGUUAACCAGACUUAGAAUACAGAGUUAUUUCACUCCUGUUUACUGCUGGGGGAGAAAGGCUACAUAAGCUUCUGCUUACCAUACCCAGGCCCCACAAGCCAUGAAUGAGUCUCCCUAUAGAAAAUGAUUACACUUGCUUUAGAAUCUCUAAUGUUUCUGAAACUGCUAAAUACUAGUUUAUUUAUUGCCUUCUGUUUUCUGAGACUUUAGCACUUUCAUUUUCCAUGCUUUGACCUGCAACCCUGAGAGAUGAGUAAUUUUUAAAGGGGAAGUGGAGUUUCUUCACUGACCACAUAAAUGCAAGAGCUGGGCUUUUAUGAAAGGUGACCCGAGAUUAUGAAACUGGUGAUGCGCCCAUCCAAACUGGUGUGGCUGAGAGGACAGCCUUAGAGCAUGAGAAGUGCCAGGUGCUAAUGAACAGAGUGAAGGGAAGGUACCAAGCAAAUGUUUUCCUACAUGUGCCCUUUUUUUAAACGUGAUUGGCUUGUCUGUAUUGCUGGGCAGAGAUUUAUCUUACUUACCUAAGGGGCUAGACUUGUGGAUCAGAAAGGGAAAGAGCUUUUCCUUUCUUUUGGAAGUGAUAUCCCAGCUGUUGUCAUUGCAAAUAUUGGAGCGGUGCCUCUGUGACUCACUAGGUAAGCCCUGCUGAUCGAUUAGCUAAGCUGUUUGGCAUGGACUUUGAUUAACUUUUGUUCAAAUUUAACUUUCUCCUGGAAAACCUAGCUGUUUGUUUUCUGUUGUUGCUAGAGUUGUGGCUAAUAGAUCUACAUUAUAAACAUGAAUAAAUAAACGAUUGUAUUGAUAUGGAUUUUUGUUUGGCAUCAGCAAGCUAUAUUCAUGACUACUACCAACAGCUGAAGCAGCCAGAUGUGUGUGUACGUGCGUGGUUUUACAACCACGUAGGCUUUUGCACAAUAAAUCCAUCAGUGCUGAUUGCUUCCCUUUCUCUAAAAGGCCCUGCUUUUUCACUUCAUUUUGCUGUCUCUAACUCUAAUUCAGCAAAUAACUUUUAGUAAAAUCCUAAAGAGUAGGACAUUUGUGACUUAUAUAAUUUAAUGCAUUAGUCACAAAAUAGCAGAUGAACUUGUUAAGGGUGAGUCAUGACUUUAUUGCCUGCAUCUUCUAGAUGUAAAAUGGAUCUUUGUGGGUUGGGGUUUUUUUGGCUUUUUUUUUUUCCCUCCAACCUUUUUUAUUCUGUUCUGAAUGACAGAUGCCUCAUCUGUUUUAUGGCUAGGAAGACAUACUGUUUGAAAAAGGCACCUGCUUUCUUGCUGGGUUUAGUCUGCAAUUUUUACUGUGUUUGCUCAUUACUGCCUGUAAAACCUCACCCUUUUUUUUUUUUUUCCUGAGCAAGUUGUAAAUAUGAUUUCAAUAUACAUCAUGUUUAAUGCAAGGCGACUCUAUCUCACCAUUUUUCAGAGUGCCUUGUGCACACCUUGCAAAGCAGGGAGAGCACCUCUAGAUUUGGGGGGGAUCCAGCUGCCACUGGUGGCAUAUCAGAGCAGAGCUGGGGAAGCAUGAGUGGUAUGGUCUCUCACUGGCGGAACAUUCUCUUCUCUGGAAGGCAUAAUUUCAGUUUCCAAAUUAAAAGUCAUUUUACAGAGGUUUAUCACCUUGGGGUUGAAACGGAGCCCAGCUUGAAAUUCAGCCUUCUCUCACAACACUGCUUUGGAGUGUGGCAGCUGAAGGCAGUGAUUGCCCUGUUACCCCGACUAUUUAUUUCACACAUUUACCAAUGCACUUGUACGUUUCUCAGCACCCAAAGCUGCACGUAGUGACUAAGCUGUUACAACACCCUGCCAGCAGAACGAGAGGUCUUCCUUCCCCUCUGCAUCCCUCCCGCUGCCGAGUCCCCAGAUCUCCCUUCUGCACGCUGCUACUUAUGGGACCGUCAGGGAGCUGGGGCAGCUGGUAGCACAGGGCCAGAAGAGGAGGAAGGAAGGGAAAGCUUGGGCAGGGGAGAAGAUGCCGUGCCCUUUUGAUGGUUCUAAGAUUGUCUCAUGCCAAAGCCAUAGGGCAUGUGGUUUCACCCCAAGUUUCACUUUUCCCACCCCAUGGGUGAUUGAUUGAUGAGCCUUUCACAUUGCCACGCAAUACAGAAAAAUGUUUUUUUGAAGACUUGGGAAAUACAGCUGGGUGCUAAUGAGAUUUGAAGGCAUGUGAUGAAGGCAACUUCUCCUCCUCAGGGGAGAAGUUGUCACAGUUUCUUCUCAAGAUCGCAGACUUUUUUUACAGUCCCCCCAGAUACACCCUAAAGCCAGAGGCAAUGUAGCUUCUUCGUGGGUUAGGUCCAACAGAUCCCUCAGGACGAAGUCUGUGAGUCAAGCAAGCUCUUACUCAUUUCCAUGGGCAUGCCAAGGAGUCUGUUUUUCAAGGCACAUGCCUUCCAAGUAGUGCCAUCAGAAAUAAUUGUAAGUGAUGCAGCGCUCCCUUCAAAACAAGCCAGCAUUUGUUAGUCCGCUGGACAGGGCUGGCAGUGUCCUUUGAUUAGAGGCUGAGUCAAAAUUCAGAUUAUGCCUACGGAUGCAGGAGUAGCCACGCAACAGGCUUUGCUAUUCCCAGGAAACGUCUGGCUGCUUUCUCUCCCUCUGUGUGCCUGUUCUUAUGCAUCUUUGCCUGCUAUACUAUGUCCUUUUAAAAUUCAAAUUACUGUAAUUACUCCUCGGUUAUCAGGCCUUCUGUUAUCUCCACCAUGGUGUUUUUCCCUCGG